CACUCAUGACGAGGGUGCGAGGGACUUGGCCCGAUGACCACCCGGCAACCUGUGCAGGCGAGACGCCGUCAGCCAGCACAACGGUGCCAACCAGCCGCGACGGGAACGCGGGAACAUGAGGC
rnacentral:ncRNA from 2 species